UUGCUUUUACCUCUCAAAUGAUUACUGCUUUUAGAACUACUAAAAGAAACGGAACCAAAAAUAUCCAUUGGCCGACGAAGCCGAAAAACAGUAAGGCAUCUCCCGCUGCUAGUAGACAUCAUCGAUUAUCUGCCUAUGCACAAAGCGAAAGAGAAGCAGUUUAUCUUCCUCUGCGUAAACAGUUUUCGGAAGGAAAUAGUUUUUGCUCUCGUUUAGACUAAUUUUUUCGAUUUCUUUUCUUCAAUGACGAAAAUUGGAUCGGGUCACCCACCGUGAAACCAGACCCGAAAUAUGAUUACUUCUUCAAAACCCAAAAUUGUUUGAAAAGAUAUUAUAAUUAUUAAUUGAUUAUAAUUAAUAUCUUUAUUGUUUGAAAAUAAAGGUGAGGAAGCAAAAAAAUAUUAUAUCUUUAUUGUUUGAAAAGAUUUAGAAAAAAUAAAUUAUAAUUAUUAAUUUACCAUUUUAACCUUCCAUACCCUUGAAGCGUUGAAAGAAAGAAUAUAAUAUUUUUUUUGCUUGAGAAUUAUAAUACACAAUUCAUACGUACAUAUAUAUAUAUAAGCAAAGCAAUGUAAAAGAAACUGUCAAAAAAGAAAAGAAAAGAUAAAGAAGGUAUACAAUUUAUUUCAUAUUUUACUGACUAAAAUUUAAUUAUUGGAUAAAAACAUACACGAUGACUUUUUACUUAUAAUUUUUUCAAUUUACAUUUGAAUAAUAUUUCUUUUAUUGAACUAAAAGGUAGAUUUAGGAUUUGUUUAACAUUACUAGAAUUUAAAAUGGUGAUUUUGUUUUUUGUUUUUUGAAAAAAAUGAGGAGAGAAAAGCAAAUAAUCAAUUUUGAAUUUUGAAUAUUUCUAAUACCUUUCUCUUUCAAAUACCCAACCCAAAAAUCAAGUUCUUGUAAAUUAAUCAAAAGCAAAUCAAAGAUCCAAAUCUAAAUUGAAAUCAAAACCAGGGAUAGAAAAGGGACUUGGAGAAGCAUUAGCAAAAAGAAUGGAACACAACCAUCAAAAUUUUCUCCAGAAGUUAUAGAUCUAAUUCCAUUAAGCAUCAUCUUCACUUUUUCCUUCACAUUAGCAAAAACAAAAAAUAAUUAUCCUCAAUUUUCCUUCCUCAGUAGCAAUAAACACAUUAUACUUCAGAAAAAUUCCAAACACCAUAUCCAAUAAAGACUUGCAAAAUACAAAUCAUUAGGCAUAACCCAUUGAAGUGAAGCAACCACCGAAAAAUCCCAGAUUUCUCCAAAUCUAAGAACAUGCAACAAGAAAUUAUUCGACUGGAUCACCUCAAAAGAUAGAGAACCACCAAGAAUGAUGAACCUACAUGCAAGAUCAAUGGCUAACAACUGGUAUUUGAGUACUUUGAGUGCUUGCCAUUUUAGCGUUCUUCUCUUGGGCUCCUUGAGUGCUUUGAUCACCAACCGCCGUCGAUUGCACCACCGUUACCUUGGCCUGACGAUUCUGCACCGUAAGCUUUACAGUAACGCAAAGUCCCUUGGCUGUCUCAUUUGGCAAUGUCUUCAAUGUUCGUUUUGGGGAAAGACCUAGGGCUCGAUUUUCGGAGCAAGAUUUUUUGGGGAAUUUCUGUAAUUUCACGUUGCACAGUGAAAUUUUCCCUCUUCAUUUGCUCAUUUUCUCUCUGAUUUGAGAGAAUCCAGUUAGGUGGACCCGGAAGGAAAAUAAAGACCAAAUUCCUUCCUUCGAAAUUUUCCCUCCUUUUCCAAACAGGAGAAAGUUAGUUUUCUUUGAUAGUUUCCAUCCACGUUUUC
rnacentral:lncRNA from 1 species